rnacentral:rRNA from 1 species
CACGGGGGGAGCAAGCGUUGUUCGGAAUCACUGGGCGUAAAGGGCGUGUAGGCGGUCAGGUAAGUGGGAUGUGAAAUGCCCCGGCUCACCCGGGGACCGGCAUCCCAUACUGCUUGGCUUGAGUACGGGAGAGGAUGUGGGAAUUCCUGGUGUAGCGGUGAAAUGCGUAGAUAUCUACAGGAACUCCGGUGGCGAAGGCGGCGUGCUGGAUCUCUUCUGACGCUGAGGCGCGAAAGCUAGGGGAGCAAACGGG